rnacentral:rRNA from 1 species
AGAGUGAACGCUGGCGGCAGGCCUAACACAUGCAAGUCGAACGGCAGCGGGUCAGUAGCAAUACUGAUGCCGGCGAGUGGUGGACGGGUGAGGAAUACAUCGGAAUCUACCUUGUCGUGGGGGAUAACGUAGGGAACUUACGCUAAUACCGCAUACGAACUACGGUUGAAAGCGGCGGACCGCAAGGCGUCGCGCGAUUGGAUGAGCCGAUGUCCGAUUAGCUAGUUGGCGGGGUAAAGGCCCACCAAGGCGACGAUCGGUAGCUGGUCUGAGAGGAUGAUCAGCCACACUGGAACUGAGACACGGUCCAGACUCCUACGGGAGGCAGCGAGUGGGGAAUAUUGGACAAGUGGGCGCAAGCCUGAUCCAGCCAUCGCCGCGUGUGUGAAGAGGUCCUUCGGGUGUAAAGCUACGUUUUGUUAGGGAAGAAAAGACGUACCGGUUUAAUACCCGGGUUUACUAGGAACCGGUAACCC